rnacentral:tRNA from 1 species
GCCUGGCUGGCUCAGUGGUAGAGCCUGUGACUUUUGAUCUCGGAGUUGCAAGUUCAAGCACUGCGUUAGGUG